rnacentral:lncRNA from 1 species
UGUUAUAAAACAAAUCAGAUGAAUAAUGGGCAAACUGUUACUUCUUUCACAGCCUGAAGGCUCUGCCGGAGAGCGGCCUUCUCUUAGCUUGUCGGGAGUGGGCAUUUUUCAGACGCAUCUUCGGCCGAUAUAGCGCUUAUUGGGGCGGCCUUUGAUUCCCGGCAGCUGUCUUAGAUCAGAGAUGUUUAUUCCACUGCGAAACCUCUUCGGAUAGAGACGGGGGAGAGAGCUCAGAGCGGGGGCAUCCGCCUUAGCCUUUGAAGCGCCUCUUGCCGUCCUUUCUAGUCUUCUCGGUAAACCCUAAACCCUCUUCUCCUGUCACAAGUCAGUGCCCCGAGAUAAGAAAAGCCUCCUGCAAAUUAGCACGGUGACACGUCCGAAGUAACAACGGACCUCCACUGGUGGCUUUUGCGUUUCCGAAAAUCGGAUGCUUGAUGCCGCAAGCCUCUCAGUCCAAAGAGGUUCCUUUCCCCGUUCCCUGUUCUGCCUUUAGAAAAUAUUUCUUUAUUUGGUCAAGGAAUCCUAUCAAUGACAGGGAAAAAAGUUGAGGUUGCAUUUCUCUUAAUGUAAGGAGGGGAGAGAGGGAAGAAACCUCCCCUCACCCUUUUUUAAAAAAUAUUAUUUAUUGGACACCGUUUCGUGCGCAUCGUAAUUAAUUUAAAUGCACUUGCUGGACGGGUUGCAGAGUCCACCUUCAUUGUAGGAAGGCCCCUGAGAAACGCAGGGCAUCUGAGAAACAACCAUUCGGAAUAAACAAGGAGAGUGCGGAGGCGAAAUCACCCGAGCCUGCGGGAAGCCUGCGUUUCGACAGCAUUGUAGAUGCCACAGAGCCAUCAGACAAAAGGGCAAGAGUAGAAACAAAAUCCAUUUCAAAAUGCAGAGAAAAGAAAUGAACAGCAACAACAACAAUGACAAAAAAAGCCAAAAGCUGUUCUCUGCAAAGGCUGUCUUUCACUGCGAAUUAUGAAGAUGGAAGGUAUGUAACAUAAUGAUCUAGCUUUGAAGUAUUCUAGACUUAAUGAUUCAUU